rnacentral:ncRNA from 1 species
GACACUAAGUCGGUGAUAACACCCCCCCUGCCGAAUCAACCUGAAAAUGGAUGGCGCUGGAGCGUUGGGCCCAUACCCGGCCGUCGCCGGCAAUGAGAGCCGCGGGGGCUACGCCUUGUAGGAGUAGGAGAGUAGUAGGCUACGCCAGAGUAGGAGGGCUGCUGCGGUGCGCCUUGAAGCCUAGGGCGUGGGCCUGGGCGGAGCCGCCGCAGGUGCAGAUCUUGCUGGUAGUUGCAAAUAUUCAAACGAGAACUUUGAAGGCCAAAGUGGAGAAAGGUUCCAUGUGAACAGCAGUUGAACAUGGGUCAGUCGGUCCUAAGAGAUAGGUGAGCGCCGUUCCAAAGGGACGGGCAAUGGCCUCCGUUGCCCUCAGCCGAUGGAAAGGGAGUCGGGUUCAGAUCCCUCGAAGUGAGCUGUAGCUCACGAAAGCUUACGCUCAAAUAAAUUUGUUAGUCUCUAAGGUGCCACAAGUACUCCUUUUCUUUUUGCGAAUACAGACUAACACGGCUGCUACUCUGAAUCCUCUAGUAGUAAUUUUAUACUUUAGCCAAAGCCAUAAGCCAUUAGGCACUAAUUCCAUCCCUAUUCAGCAAAGUCCCUGAGCAUGUGCUUAACUUCAGCAAUGUCCUUAAGUCCCAUUGACUUCAGUA